rnacentral:rRNA from 1 species
AUACGGAGGGAGCUAGCGUUGUUCGGAAUCACUGGGCGUAAAGCGCACGUAGGCGGCUUUGUAAGUUAGAGGUGAAAGCCCGGGGCUCAACUCCGGAACUGCCUUUAAGACUGCAUCGCUUGAAUCUGGGAGAGGUAAGUGGAAUUCCGAGUGUAGAGGUGAAAUUCGUAGAUAUUCGGAAGAACGCCAGUGGCGAAGGCGGCUUACUGGACCAGAAUUGACGCUGAGGUGCGAAAGCGGU